AGGGAAGCAAAAUAGUGAUAUAGAGCAAAACCCUAAAAAACGGUCUCAGUUCGGAUUGAAGGCUGAAAUUCGCCCUCAUGAAGCUGGAAUUGCUAGUAAUCGCGGAUCAGCAUGCCGCGGUGAAUACGUUCUCGGGCCUUGUACACACCGCCCGUCACACCAUGGGAGUCGGUAACACCCGAAGUCUGUAGCCUGACGCAAGAGGGCGCAGCCGAAGGUGGGAUUGAUGACUGGGGUGAAGUCGUAACAAGGUAAC
rnacentral:rRNA from 1 species